rnacentral:rRNA from 1 species
AUUGAACGCUGGCGGCAUGCCUUACACAUGCAAGUCGAACGGCAGCGCGGACUUCGGUCUGGCGGCGAGUGGCGAGCGGGUGAGUAAUGUAUCGGAACGUGCCCUAGAGUGGGGGAUAACGUAGCGAAAGUUACGCUAAUACCGCAUACGAUCUAUGGAUGAAAGUGGGGGACCGUAAGGCCUCACGCUCAUGGAGCGGCCGAUAUCUGAUUAGCUAGUUGGUAGGGUAAAAGCCUACCAAGGCGACGAUCAGUAGCUGGUCUGAGAGGACGACCAGCCACACUGGGACUGAGACACGGCCCAGACUCCUACGGGAGGCAGCAGUGGGGAAUUUUGGACAAUGGGGGCAACCCUGAUCCAGCAAUGCCGCGUGUGUGAAGAAGGCCUUCGGGUUGUAAAGCACUUUUGUCAGGAACGAAACGGUGGGGGCUAAUAUCCUCUGCUAAUGACGGUACCUGAAGAAUAAGCACCGGCUAACUACGUGCCAGCCGCCGCAGUAA